UACGGGAGGCAGCAGUGGGGAAUAUUGCACAAUGGGCGCAAGCCUGAUGCAGCCAUGCCGCGUGUAUGAAGAAGGCCUUCGGGUUGUAAAGUACUUUCAGUCGUGAGGAAGGUGUUAAGGUUAAUAACCUUAGCAAUUGACGUUAGCGACAGAAGAAGCACCGGCUAACUCCGUGCCAGCAGCCGCGGUAAUACGGAGGGUGCGAGCGUUAAUCGGAAUUACUGGGCGUAAAGGGCACGCAGGCGGUUAAUUAAGUUGGAUGUGAAAUCCCCGGGCUUAACCUGGGAAUGGCAUUCAAGACUGGUUAGCUAGAGUCUUGUAGAGGGGGUUAGAAUUCCAUGUGUAGCGGUGAAAUGCGUAGAGAUGUGGAGGAAUACCGGUGGCGAAGGCGGCCCCUGGACAAAGACUGACGCUCAUGUGCGAAAGCGUGGGGA
rnacentral:rRNA from 1 species